rnacentral:rRNA from 1 species
CACGUAGGCGGAUCGAUCAGUCAGGGGUGAAAUCCCAGGGCUCAACCCUGGAACUGCCUUUGAUACUGUCGAUCUGGAGUAUGGAAGAGGUGAGUGGAAUUCCGAGUGUAGAGGUGAAAUUCGUAGAUAUUCGGAGGAACACCAGUGGCGAAGGCGGCUCACUGGUCCAUUACUGACGCUGAGGUGCGAAAGCGUGGGGAGCAAACA